rnacentral:lncRNA from 1 species
UGGUGCAAAGUGCAAAGACUAUAGUUUGGUCUACAGUUGCUUUCAAGGAGGUGGAUGCCGGUUCUGGUUUAUCUUUUUAACUUUAGUUGGAUCUGAGGAGCAAACCAAGGCAAUUUGUUGAUCUAGGAAAUACUUGCAUUUGAACCUCCUUCUGGAGGGUUAGAAGGAACACUUAUAUUACCCUGUUAUUUAUUUUUGCGUUUUUGUUUCUCUCGCGCAUUCCGUAUUUAUUUGUUCCAGUAGCCUAGGUAAAAAUGUACUGCACAUUGGUAUCAUUUCGGUGGGUAUCAUCUGGUGGUUAUCAUCUAUAUAUAAUGAGCUUACUGUAAACUAUAUUCAAUAGUUGCCUCUUUUAGCUUUUCAUAUUGUGUGAUUAUGCAUCGUUUUGUUGCAUGGUUGGGUGAAUAUUUGCCUGAUCAAUUUUCACCUGGCGACGUAUUGCUAAGAUUCUUUUACAUGUUAUAAAGAUAACACUAUAAUCAGUUCUAGUAUAUGGUUUGUUUUGUCACUAGGUGCGGUAACUUAAGUUGCAUUGUCAUGUACUCCCUCCGUCCCAAAAUAAGUGUCAACUUUGUACUAGCUCUAGUACAAAUUUGUACUAAGCUCAAGACACUUAUUUUGGGACGGAGGGAGUAUUCAGGUAUGAGAACCAUGCAUUCGAUACAAUCUAGGAUUGCAUUAUUAUCUUGAGAGUACUUAGCAUUAUGUCAUGGAAUUGAGGACCCUUCCUUGGCAUUAAUUUGCUUGCUGAGAGGAAGCAUUGUUGAGCAUAUUAUCAGUUUAAUUGCCCCACCUACAGUUGAAGAUUUGAACUGUGUUGUUAGGUUAUGGUUGGUACCACAGUUGAAAUAAUUGUCUGUUGUCUUCAUCCCUUAAAUAAGCGGCUGGUAAUCUAACCCUGCUAGCAGAAAUUAAGGUGUGAUGGUAGGGUUUCCUGUCCUCAUAAAUGUGGCCUGAAACUCCUGGUGCUGGUCGCUUGCUUUUUUUCUUUCUCUUUGGUGAAGUGCCUAUUGUUAGCCAUAUUAAACUAUACUACUGAUCAAGCUAGUGGCAAACUGAAAGCGGCAUAAAUAGUUUAUAUCGUGUAGUAGAAGUUUUAUCUUAGCCAUAUUAAACCAUGCUGAUACAGCAAGUGGCAAACUGAUAGCGGCAUAAAUAGUUUUGUCUCAUAGAAGGUUAAUCUUAUGCCUAAAGUCUCUGGCGACUUGUUCUUGGUAGGAUUUCUGUUGUCAGGGUACUGCUAGGACAUGCUCACGGAGAUUUGCAUAUUUCUGUUGUUCUUUUUAUACUUGGGUAGCUUUGUUUUCAAACCAUGACGUGCAUAAUACUCCCUCUGUUCCAAAUUACUCGUCGCAGAAACGGAUCUUAGUUUCUUACUUGGUUAGCAAUUGUUUUCAAAACUGAUCAACUGCGUGUAGCAACAAAGCCACUAUGGGGUGUACGUACUUCAACUGAACUGCAUAAUACUCGGUUGGCACCAGUUCCAGAUUUCAGGUGUGUUGGUACCACAAUUUGGGUGAGUUGCGUUGUGGAACUGUGGGGCAGAGCAACACGAUGUUGGUGCCUGCGUUAUCUGAAUGAAUGCUGGGGCAAAGCAACUGGGUCCUAGGAUUGCGUAGGAGCAAAUCGCUCGCCGUGUUUGGUGCACGCCACGCCGGGAGACAGGUUGUUUAUGUGCGACACCACGCAAUCCUUGCUCCUUUUGCAAUUAUUUUAGCAGUAAAGCGCAUGUAGGCAUGAGCAUUUGGAGGUCCAUGCUCGAGGAUAGUGCGUGGGCUGCCAUAUCCCUUCCAACGCAAGGCAAAGUGCUAACGGGUAACACAACAUGUUGUUCUUUGUACCAAAUUCAGUUUCCUGUCUUGUGCUUAUAGCAUCGUAUUUUUUUUAUUCCAAAGAUCAUCACUGUACACUCAAAUAAACCAACGAAACCGGGGCAUCGAAAAGCCGUUUUGGACAUGUCCUCUUUGGCCAUAAAAAUUUGAUUAUACUUCGCAUUACCAUCAAGAAAACUAACAACCUUAUGUCGAGAGGCAUCAUUGAUAAGCAUAUCCGCUAUGGGCAUGGGAUACUCAUCUUUGGGUGUAGCUCUAUUUAAAUCUUUGAAAUCAAUGCACACACUUAAUUUGUUGGACCCUUUUUUCUUACCACAGGCACAAUAUUAAAGAUCCAUUUAGUAUACCUACAAGGUCUAAUACAAUUAGCUUUAAGCAAAAGACUGAUCUUGCUAUAAAUAUUAGUGGUAAUAUAAUAUUGAUCUUUUCAAUCGGUCGAUUUUAUCCAGCGUUGUCUGUAUGCAAUUUUUAUACAAUUAAUUUUUCUUUUGAAGUUGUUAAUCAUGUUGCCUUCCAUAGUAUUUUAAUUGAAAUACAAGAUGCAAACCAAAUUGGUUUUGGGGAAGUGCGAAGAUUUCAUUGUCUCCUUUUAUUUGCAUUUGAAGCAAGCCCAUCAGCAAUCACUCUUCUUACUUUAUUCUAUAUCGUGUAUGCCACUUUUAGUGAAUACACAUGACUAUUACUUCCUCGGUCCCAAAAUAAGUGUCGCUAAUUUAGUAUAACUUUAUACUAAAUCAGCGGCACUUAUUCUUAGGGGGUGGAGGGUUAUAAUUUAAUGUUUUUUGGGGAUUGGAUGCUCGUGUCAUUUUCAAGUUCGUAUAGUUUGUUUGAGACACUGCAAUUACAUUUGAGCAUUUUAUUUCUUUGUCUUCACCACUGCAAUGGCAGGUUUGAAUCUCUGAGUUCCUACUUGCUAAAAUGUGAGUUAUCCCAUUGCUUGUGCACAAUUUACUGAUCUACUCCCUCCGUUCUGAAUUACUUGUCACAUGUAUGGAUGUAUCUAAAUGUAUUUUAGUUCUAGAUACAUCCGUUUCUGCAACGAGUAAUUUGGAACGGAGGGAGUAUAUAUGUAGCUUCACUGAUAGAGGCUUUUAGGUUUUUCUGGAGAAAUCCUUAGGCCAAUAGAAAUUAGUGGGCUUAUUCCUUUCUGGACAUUAUCACAAACAACGGAGACGAAAUUGACCUAAAAUUCUGUGCAUUUAGUGAACUGACUAUGUUGUUCAGUAAUCUUGCAAGAUCAUCCAACAUGCCUUGGGUCAGAUUGAUGUAGCUUUGAUUAGUUUUUUUAUUUCUAUCACAAUGUUUAUUUAGUAUGUUCAAUAUCUUCUGUAGUGCUGUAAUGUACUUAGAUGUGUUGUCUGAGAGUAACUUCUUGUUUGCACGCCGAUGUUGAUGAAAUAUCGGCAGAACUCACUCCCUGUCUGGGACAAAGGUAGUCUGGGAAAAUCCUUGUCUGCUCUCUAGAUCAUUAGCAUUGUAAUUUCAAUCACCCGCAAAAAAGCGUUGUAAUUUCAAUGGCCUCGAUAUUUUAGCCUGGUACCUAUGCAAUGCUAUGUGCGGUAGUAUAAACCUUCUACAGGUUCGUGUCUAGGUGAGGUAUCUGCAGUAAUUCCUGAUUGGUAGUAAUUCUAAACAAAUACUUGUACUGCCUUAUCGUAUGUCUAUCCGGCGGGUAGUAUCCUUUGUACUACUGGACAGGGGGAAUGUAUCCGAUGCACCCGCACUUGUGGUACUACCGAUACACCGGAUGCCAUAGAAUAUUUUAAAAAAUCUGAAAAAAAUUAGCAUGUUAACACAACAUCAAUGUAUGAUGUCAGAAAAUUUCAUAUAAAAAGUUGAAAUAUUUUUUGAGACACAAAAAUGACAAAUUUAACAUCAGUGUGAUAAUGGGCCAAAUCUAAAGCCCAAAUUAUGUUAUGUACUAUUCAGUGUUGAAUCUGUCAUUUUUCUUUUGGGCGUUAUGUUUUGAAUUUUGACUUGAAAUUUUGUGACAAUCUACAUUGAUGUUGUGCAAGCAUGCUAAUUUUUUUUCAUAAUUUUUUGAACAUUUUAAAAGCACAAUGUGAGUUUGGUGCACCGGUAGCACCACAAACUUCGGUGCACUAGAUAUUUCCCCAUCCGGACAAUGGCCUAGGCAGAGGAUUGUAAACCAGGGCGGUCUAACUGACCCUUCUUUGCUUCCACAAACACGACAUGAUAACAUAGCAGCAGUAUAUAAUUCAUUGAAAUCAAACUGACAAGAAUCAAGCAGUUCAGUUCUACGAAAAAAAUGUCCAAUUGAACAAUUCUCAAUGAUAGUUAAUCAGUUCAAUUCUACAACAAAAACGUUUAUCAAAUCAAAUCCGCUCACAGUUAUGGUUUUCUUCAAACCAUGGCUCUCAGUUAUGCUUGUUCUUGUUCAAAAGCGAAAGGGUGCUUUGAAUGAGACGAAAUCAUUAAAAAAAACUUGCAUGCCGGUAGUCAGGCCGGUGCUGCUACUGAGGCCAUUGUUCUCUAAAUGGCGCUCAGGGUAUCAGGAGGACGCAGGAGUAUCGUACGAGGAAACAAAUGGAAAUAUCCAGUGCCAGUGGAUUGGUAGGUGGUUCUAUAUGGGAGCACCUAUAGGCCGCUCGUUGUGGCGAAAUGCCGGCGCUUCGCACAGGAGCGGCUAGCGUGGGCCGGCCCAUUUACAGUGGCACACGGCGGAACGUUCCCGAGAUGAAAAAUCGCAAAAAAGAAAUUAGCGCUCGCGCUGUAACUCAAACACGCGACUUCGCACUAACUGGCCUGCCGUGCAAACCACUGCGAUGUAGACAUUCUCACGUUCAACUAGCAGCGCGACAGUUAAAGACUACAGAUAAUUUAUUGGGUCGAACCGACGACCUCCUACAACUGAAUUUUCCAAAAUUAUGAAUAUUUUCUUCAAAAUAAAAACAUUUUCCGAAUUUUCGUACAAAUUUUGUAAAACAGGAACAUUUUGAUGAUGUGAACAAAUUUGAGAAAGGGGAACAUUUCUUGAAUUUGUGACCAAAAAACAAAAAUGUUUAUAUUUUUAAAACUUCUAGAACAUUUUUUGAAUUUGUGAUUUUAUUUGAAAAACAUGAACUAUUAUUGAAUUUGUGAACAAAUUUUGAAAACUGGAAUAUUUUUUUCAAUUCCCAAACAUUAUUUGAAUCUUGAGAAAUUUUUUUGAAAUGGUGAACAAUUUUAAAAAAUCCUGAACAAAUUUGGAAGCGCGAACAAUUUUUUAAAGCAUGAACAUUUUUGAAUCUUGAGAACAUAUUUCGAAACGGAGAGAAAUUUUGAAAAAUUCCGAACAAAUUUGGAAGUCGGAACAAUUUCUUAAAGCACAAACAUUUUCUGAAUCUUGAAAACAUAUUUUGAAACGGAGAGAAUUUUGAAAAAUCCUGAAAAAAUUUUGGAAGAGCUAACAUUUUUUGAAUAUGUGAAAAAAAAUUUUGAAAUUCAGUACAUUUUCUGAAUUUCAGAACUUUUGUACUUUUUUCUGUAACAAGAACAAAUUUUGAAUUUUGAGAACAUUUUUUGGAAACACGAACAAUAUUUAGUUUUUUGUUUUUUAAAGGACAAGAAGAAAAGAAAAGGAAAUAAAAAAGAAAAUCAUAAACAUUUGUAAAACUACGAACAUAUUCUGAAAAAGAAAAAUAAACUUGAAAAAGAAAAUGAAACAAGAAACAAAAAACGAAAAAAUGAAAAAGAAACAGAAACGAAAAAAAGGGAAAUAAAAAAACAAUAGAAAGCCAAAAAAGAACCAGCAAAAACGAUACAGGCAAAAAACCGGUUCAUGGAACCUUCUGGAAGGUUCCCAAAACCGGUUUGGACGCAUUAUGUGUGGGCCGGCCCAUUUCUGUCCCUCGCUGCGCUGCCCCUGUGCAAUCGCUCGACAGUUUGCCGCAGCGAGCGGCGAAUAGGAUUUUCCGUUCUUUAUGACGCCGAUUAGAACAACAAGGCGCGUAGGAAGCCUUGGUGGGCCGCGGCCGAACAAGCAGCUAUUUAUGUUAAUUUUGAAAACCUUGAUGUAAACCAAAAAUAUUCCCGAAUUCACAAAAAUUUAUUAAUUUCAAAACAUAUUAGUGACUAACAAAAAAUGUCAAAAUUUACGGGCCAAAAUCUUCUUAAUUUUGAAAGCUUUGGUGAAGAAAACAAUAUUCGAAAAUUUGAAAACAAAACCAGGAAAUCAUUUUUUUCAUGAAUUUGGAAAACUGUUCGCAAAUUUAAAACAUCUUCACUAUUUUGAAAAAAUAUGGUUACCUUUUUUUAAAACUUCAUUCUUUAUAAAAGGUCAUGGAUUUCAAAAGAGUUCAUGAUUUUCAAAAAUAUCUUGGGAUCUAAAUAAAAGCUCAUAAAUUUUUUAAAACCUUUUGAAAUCAUAAAGGUUCAUGAAUUUGAAAGGGAGUUCAUAAUUAAUUUGAAAAAAAAAUCAUGGAAUUUUAAAAAGACGAUUUUUUGAAACUUUUGUUAAAAAAAUGAAAUGUAACAAACCCUAUAUGAAAAAUCGAGACCGGAAGCUUUAGCUUGCCACAAACCCUAUAUGCGGCCUUAAGCGCCGUUUAUAGUUCAUUGUGCAAACCGUCGCACCCCCCUCUACUCUGGACCGGCCCGUUCAUAGUUUUUUUUUCUGUUUUAAACUAUUAAAAGUGAAGCCCUAGACGUGAUUUGAACUGGGUACCUCCAGGUUUUAUGUACGAAAUGGAUAACCAAGUGGGGCAUCCGACCUCUUGUGGCUACAUUGCCCUUUUUUCCUUUUUGAAAUGCAAUGCUAAAAAGCGCAACGUUUCCUGUUUGGUUUUAAUUUUUAGGUUUUGGUUUUUUGUUUGUGCAUAAUUCUUUAUUAGGUUUGUGAACACUUUUUUCAAACAGAUGAACUUUUUUUUCAAAUUUUGAUGAACUUUUUUCAAAAUUGAUGAACUUUUUUCAAACUCAUGAAAUAUUUUUGAAAAUCGACGAACUAUUUUUCAGAAAAAUGAACUUAUUUCAAAUUCUUGAACUUUUUUGAAAUUGAUGAACUUCUUUCAAAAUUGAUGAACUGUUUUGAAUUUUGUGAACCUUUUCAAUUUUUCAUGAUUUUAUUUUUGCAAUAUCGAUGAACAUUUUUAAAUUUCCCUUCUUUUUCAAUUUUAGAAAAGGCAAUGAUCCAGUGUCAAAAAUUAAACGACCGACCAAGGCAGUAAAGAAUUGACUAGGCGAGCGAACCUGUCGGUCCAUGGAGGGGAUCGAGCGAGUGUUUGUAUUAAUGGGCCGGCCUAACUCACCAAGCGCUUGAGACGCCGUAUAGGAGGGGUGAUCCCUAUUUGACGCUCGCGAGCGUCCAGGUGCUGCGCUUCCGCUGAAGCGCUGGAGCGGGCACCACAAAACGGGCCAGCCCACUUCGAGCUUUAGAGCAGUUAAGGUUCCCUCAACCCGUUUUUUCCUGGUGUUUUGUUUUGCCGGUUUUCAGGUUUGCCCUGUUUUCUUUUUUUUAUUUUUCUUUUUCUAUUUUCCCUUUCCUUUAAUUUAUCAUUUUUCUUUUUUUCUUUUAUCCUUUUUUUUCAUUUUUAAAUUCCUAUUUUUCAUGAUUUGGAUAAUUGUCCGAAGUUUUCAAAUUUGGUUCAGUUUUUGAAAAUUUAUUCACAAUUCAAAAAUUGUUCAUCGUAUAUAAAAAAAAUUCAAUGUGUAUUUAACUUUUGUUUAGCGUAUAUCAUAAAAUUGUUCAAUGUGUACCUAAAAUUGUUCAGUGUAUAUUACUCAAAAUGCUCAAUGUACAUUUAAAAGUUAUUCAUCGUAUAUCACAAAAAUCUCCAGUGUAUUUGAAAUAUUUUUCAGUGCAUAUCACAAAAAUGCAGUGACAAAAUUUUCAUCGUAUAUUGAAAAAAGUUGAAUAUAUAUUUAUUUUUUUAUCAAACAUAACAAAUCAAUAAAUGUUUGGAAUUUCAUAAUUGUAUUCAUGUUUUAAAUAAUUGUUCACGAUUAAAAAAUAAAUUUUAGAAGUUUUUUUGAGUUUUUGGAUUUGGUCGAGAAAACAUUAUUCAAUUCUGUUAAGGAAGAUUCAAAAUUAGAUCUGCCCGUGCACAUAGUACUUCAAGUUUGGCGCUGUAAUUUAACACAAACCUAGUCCCUAGUUGCAGCGGCUGGCCCCACAGUUAUUUAGCCUUAGUUCCAGGGUUUGACUCCAUCCUAGGAAGGCAUUUUUCGUGACAGUUUUGUUGUUGUUGAGAAAACCGUGACAGUUUUUAUUGCGUUCGCUCCUCUGGGAAUGGGCCUGCCUGUUUGGGCAAAUUCUUCAGCGAACCCUGCGCGAAGGCUCCCCUGUUUGACAAUAACUAGCGUCGAACAGGAGCUCUCUAUAGGAGGCCCCCUCGCUUGCUACGAGAUGGUAGAACCACUCGGCAAAAGCUGGGCUACCCAGUAGCUCACGAGACGUACGUUUUUCUGUUCUUUAUUUUAUUGUUUUUUGUACUUUUGAUUACGGGUUGAAACACUUAAAAUAGAUAUAUUCCAAAAUUAAUUUUAUUUAAUUUAUUAAAACAAUUCAUCGCACAUUUAAACAAUAUUCAUGCAGUGCAAAAUUGUUCAUGCAAUUAUGUACAAUUAAAAAUAUGCACGCAUUUUAAAAAUAUAUUUGUAAAUUUUGUAAACAUGACCGAGACACCUCUUCGGUCAAUAACCAAUGCGGAAUCUGGAUGCUUAUAUUGGCACUUACAUAUUUUAUAAAGAUCUUUAUCUUUCGAACCGUUAUGACAACAUACAUAAUUUUCUUUGUCUAUCGGUAUGUUACUUGCCACACACUGGUACGCAUCGGUGCUAUACAAACAGUUUUUAACCCCUUUCCACGACGACAUUUGGAACCGUCGCCUAAUGAGUGACGGCGAUAGGGGGGUCCUUCUCACACGAUCCAAAAACUAUCGGGGAUAUUCCCUUCUGGCACACACGCUCGGGAAAAUGAGGUCGUGUGUGACCGGCGAGCGCUUAAAUACGGAAAUACGUACAGCAGAGCUAAAAAAAUCAAUUAUACAGGCAAUAUUAUUUCCGAUCGCAAGUACAUCCCACACCGUCAGUCCCCGCUAAACGUUUCCGUUCGUAUAUACAUUCCACACAGUCGCAUCAAGGAAAACGUUUCCGUUCACAGAUACAUCACACACAAUUUUCCCCGUUAAAUCGUUUGUGAUAGCGUUGCCAUUGUACACGAUAUCAACAAUUUUAUCGUUUGCGUUAUUGAAUGCAUCACACACGGUGCAUAGAAAAACUGUGUGGCAAAGACUGUCCAUCACACAAUUUUUAUGUGGUAAACGUUUGCGCAAGGUGCCUAAAGUUAACAGUUUUCAAGAGGAUGUCGUGUGUGCAGUGGAGAUUGAUCGCACACGUAGUGGAUCCUAGAGACAUUUCUGAUCUACACGUCUAUCGCAGACGUUUCACUUUCGCAAACCGUGUGCAAUGUAAUCCCCAAUUAAUCCCUAAUUUGAAAAUCACAUGUUUUUAAUUUGAAAGUAGUCAAUCACAUAUUUCAUAUCCAACCAUGUUUAUUACAAAUAUAGGUUCAACCACGAAUGCAUAAUUCGAUGCACAUGUACAUAUACUGAAGAACUACAGAAGCACCAAGUAAAGAAUAAUGAACCACAGUUGUACUAAAGACUAUAAAGAGAGAGGCGAAAGACAUUCUGGUCGCUGGAGAAGGUGAAGUGGAAUGCCCAUAUUGUGCCCUCCUCCAUGCGUAAUGCGCGCACGACUCUAGGCCAACCCCUUGUGAUGGCGGCCCAUCCAUCCUUCACUGUCUUCAUCACGACUUCUCGAUGCUCAUUGUAGUCUAGAUGAAAUAUUGUAACCUUCAUUGCAUGUCCACCAAUCAUGUAAUUUGCAAGGUAAUCUUGAGUGAACUGUUUCGGGAACCACUACAAACAAAAAA